rnacentral:rRNA from 1 species
UACGGAGGGUGCAAGCAUUGAUCGGAAUUAUUGGGCGUAAAGGGCGCGUAGGCGGCUAGAUAAGUUUGGUGUGAAAUACCGCGGCUCAACUGCGGUGCUGCGCUGAAAACUGUCUGGCUAGAGUGUAGUGUGGGAAAACAGAAUUUCGCAUGUAGCGGUGAAAUGCGUAGAUAUGCGAAGGAAUACCGGUGGUGAAGGCGGUUUUCUGUGCUACAACUGACGCUGAGGCGCGAGAGCAAGGGGAGCAAACAGG